GGGACAAUGCCGGCAGCUAACACAUGCAAGUCGAGCGGCAGCGGGGAGUAGCUUGCUACUCUGCCGGCGAGCGGCGGACGGGUGAGUAAUGCUUGGGAACUUGCCUUUAGGAGGGGGAUAACCACGGGAAACUGUGGCUAAUACCGCAUAAUGUCUACGGACCAAAGCAGGGGAUCUUCGGACCUUGCACCUAGAGAUAGGCCCAAGUGAGAUUAGCUAGUUGGUGGGGUAAAGGCCCACCAAGGCGACGAUCUCUAGCUGUUCUGAGAGGAUGAUCAGCCACACUGGGACUGAGACACGGCCCAGACUCCUACGGGAGGCAGCAGUGGGGAAUAUUGCACAAUGGGGGAAACCCUGAUGCAGCCAUGCCGCGUGUGUGAAGAAGGCCUUCGGGUUGUAAAGCACUUUCAGUGGUGAGGAAGGAUGUAAGAUUAAUACUCUUGCAUAUUGACGUUAGCCACAGAAGAAGCACCGGCUAACUCCGUGCCAGCAGCCGCGGUAAU
rnacentral:rRNA from 1 species